GAUGAACGCUGGCGGCGUGCCUAAUACAUGCAAGUCGAGCGAACGGACGAGAAGCUUGCUUCUCUGAUGUUAGCGGCGGACGGGUGAGUAACACGUGGAUAACCUACCUAUAAGACUGGGAUAACUUCGGGAAACCGUAUCUAAUACCGGAUAAUAUUUUGAACCGCAUGGUUCAAAAGUGAAAGACGGUCUUGCUGUCACUUAUAGAUGGAUCCGCGCUGCAUUAGCUAGUUGGUAAGGUAACGGCUUACCAAGGCAACGAUGCAUAGCUGACCUGAGAGGGUGAUCAGCCACACUGGAACUGAGACACGGUCCAGACUCCUACGGGAGGCAGCAGUAGGGAAUCUUCCGCAAUGGGCGAAAGCCUGACGGAGCAACGCCGCGUGAGUGAUGAAGGUCUUCGGAUCGUAAAACUCUGUUAUUAGGGAAGAACAUAUGUGUAAGUAACUGUGCACAUCUUGACGGUACCUAAUCAGAAAGCCACGGCUAACUACGUG
rnacentral:rRNA from 1 species